rnacentral:lncRNA from 1 species
ACCAAACCUUGUGAAGAUGAGCGUUGGGAAAGGAGUAGGAAGGUCCCAAUUUGGAAUUUUGACAUCCUAAAAGCCUUGGGUGCCGCAGAAUGAGUAAGCUGGAGGGUACUGUGUAAAGACCUCGGCUACUGCAGCAGAGAAACAGAUCAAAAAAGUCAAGACCGGCGAGAGGAAAGUGAUUGAAAGGCCAUCACUGAAAGAGGUGCAGAUGAGACACAGAGCUCAUGGUUGCCUCCUGUGAAGUGCAGGAAGGAUGGAGCAGACAGACCCAAAAGCACUGGCCUCCCAGAUGAAUCAGGAGGGAUGUGCAGGCUGGGUGACGUCUGCCCCGGAACCAGGAAAGUGCGGCUGCUUCCUCCACACCCCGCCCGCCGCCCAGGACCCAGGGCCCUUCUGAAAACACAGAAGCAAUGCCUGGAGCUGCAGCGGCCAUUUUGUGAUUGUGAAGCAAUGACCUGAGGAAUGAAGGCCAACAUCAAGGAUGGCAAAACAGAGAGAGGAAAAGAGCAAUUGUCCCCUGAUGGCAUGGCUGGGCCACUGCCCCAACCCUGUGAGGCCAUGUGACUCC